GCCCGAAUGGCGGAAUGGCAGACGCGACGGACUUAAAAUCCGUUUGUGGAAACACAGUGUCGGUUCAAGUCCGACUUCGGGCACCA
rnacentral:tRNA from 1 species